rnacentral:sRNA from 1 species
AAAUAUUCGAAUAAUGGCCAUUAAUUUUUUAUUGUAAAUUUGGUAAUUAUAUUUUGGUUUAUAUAAUUUUUAUAAAAAAAAAACGCAAAAAUGCAAUUGUUUUUUUUUCUUUUAUUAAUUAAAUUAUUUUUAAAUCGUAUAAUUUAAUAUGUCGGUUUUAAUUUCGAAAAAAUGUUUGGAUUUGGUAUUUUAAAAAUUGGGUUUUUGGUUAUUAUAUCCCGUAAUUGUUCCAAAACCUACUAUAUUUAUUUCGUUUAUCAAAAUUUUAAAUUAUUUUAAUUAUAUUGGUUAAUAAAAUAACAAUUGCGCCAUAUUUUUUGAUAAACUUUUUAUAAAAAUUUACAAAUUCGAAAAAUAUUCGAACGUUUUUUAUAUUUUGCUGUUAGGGCCAUUUUUCUAUUAUUUAAAUAAAUAACGGCGAAAAUAUUUGAAUAUUUUUUAAAAACGUGGUUAAUUAUAAUUUGGAAAGCUAUUGGGACGUUGGUAAAACCGAAAAAUAUUAUUAAAUAUAUAUAAUAUUUUUGUCGGAUGCGAAAUAUUAUUUCCUAUUUUUCGCCUUUUUUUAUACGGAUUAAAUUAUAUAUUCUUUUAAAACUUAAUAUGGUAAAUUAUUAUAUUUAAUAAAAUAUAUUUUGCAAUUUUUUUAUUAAUGGAAUUAAAUAGCAAUUUUCUAUAAUAAUAUCGUUUAAUUAUUUAUAAUUUACGUAUAAUUGUAAUUUUCUGUUUUUUUUAAUUCGAAAAAAAUUGGGUAUUUUAUUAAUAAUAUUAAUAAUUUAAUAUAAUUGUUUUUAAAAAACUUUGCGAAAUAUUUUUUUAAUAUUUUUAUUUAUAUUAAAUUUAAUCCGUAUAUUUUAUAAAAUCUAAGUUAUAUUUUUGUUUUAAUAAUAUUUUAUAAUUUAACCAAUUAUAUUUGGGUAAUUUUAUUUCGAAUUUUGGAUUAAAUAAUUAUUUAUAUAUCCGGUAUUUUGUUACGAUUAAAAUAUCGGGUAACCUGUUUUUAUAGUAAAAUAUAAUA